rnacentral:lncRNA from 1 species
UUAUGGUGCUUUCCAUCCCCGACAGAAAAUGGAGUUUUUGAGAAAUCAAACUCUGGCAUCUACCACACCAUCAUCAGAACAUCCUAAAUCUUAUCGUCUCUAUCUCUUGUCUCUACAUCCACUACAGCCACCACCUCAAAUAGCUAACCACAACCACCACUUUCACGUACAAUCUUCCAGCUAGUUAAAGAAAUCCCUAAUUCAAACUUGACAUUAUAGUCG